rnacentral:lncRNA from 1 species
AGCUACUCCAGCAGCGACUGGCCCAUCACACAGACACACCAUCAGGUUGUGAUUCCUCAAGAAUCUUGCCAAUUGCCUGCACCAGUCUGAGCCCACCAGCUCUCUCAUCAAGCUCCCGCUUUACAUACAGCCUUUUCUAGUUGUCUUAUGUGGCUAUUCAUCACUUCCUACGCCAGAACAAACUUUUAAAGAUGACUUAUUCCACAUUUUGUCUCUCCAACAGCAAGACUUAUGUACAUAUGUAUUACUCCAGGUCUCUGCCUGCUGGAGGCACUGCUUUCUGUCCCUGUGGCUGUAACACAUAGCACAGCACCCAAUAGGUAUACAAUAAAUGUUUUUAAAGAC